rnacentral:rRNA from 1 species
UACAGAGGGGGCAAGCGUUGUUCGGAAUUACUGGGCGUAAAGGGCGCGUAGGCGGCCACCGCAAGUCAGUUGUGAAAGCUCUGGGCUUAACCCAGAAAGGUCAGCUGAUACUGCGGGGCUAGAGUGCAGAAGGGGCAACUGGAAUUCUCGGUGUAGCGGUGAAAUGCGUAGAUAUCGAGAGGAACACCUGCGGCGAAGGCGGGUUGCUGGGCUGACACUGACGCUGACAGCGCGAAAGCUAGGGGAGCGAACGGG